rnacentral:sRNA from 1 species
CAAGUGGCAGCGAGAAGGCAAUUCCUGGCUGGCGGUUGGCAUCUGAGCAGGCGUCACGAUGUUGGGCUGGGUCCAGAGGGUGCUGCCUCAGCCCCCAGGGACCCCUCGGAAGACCAAGAUGCAGGAGGAAGAGAAAGUGGAACCAGAGCCAGAGCUGGAGGCGGAGGUGGAACGAGAACCGAAUCCCGAGGAGGCCGAGACAGAGUCCGAGUCCAUGCCCCCCGAAGAGUCAUUCAAGGAGGAGGAAGUGGCUGUGGCGGACCCAAGCCCUCAGGAGACCAAGGAGGCUGCCCUUACUUCCACCAUAUCCCUCCGGGCCCAGGGCGCUGAGAUUUCUGAAAUGAACAGGUACUGCACCACCCUCCCCUCUCUUCAGGGCUAGCCUGCCCCCCAACUCCCCUCCCAGCUAGGGAGCCCUGGGGAUGGGGGUGGGGAUGGGCACUGCCCUCAGCUCUGCUGUCAUUCUGGGGAAAGCCCUGGGACAUCCUGGGAAUUGGCUGAAGUGAGCUUCAGAUGGAGGGCGGGCUCUCCCAAAGUAAGCCUGAAGCUCCCA